rnacentral:rRNA from 1 species
AGUGAACGCUGGCGGUAGGCCUAACACAUGCAAGUCGAACGGCAGCACAGUAAGAGCUUGCUCUUACGGGUGGCGAGUGGCGGACGGGUGAGGAAUACAUCGGAAUCUACUUUUUCGUGGGGGAUAACGUAGGGAAACUUACGCUAAUACCGCAUACGACCUACGGGUGAAAGCAGGGGAUCUUCGGACCUUGCGCGAUUGAAUGAGCCGAUGUCGGAUUAGCUAGUUGGCGGGUUAAAGGCCCACCAAGGCGACGAUCGGUAGCUGGUCUGAGAGGAUGAUCAGCCACACGAGAGCGGAGACCCGGUCCAGAGUCCUAAGAGAGGCAGCAGUGGGGAAUGUUGGACAAUGGGCGCAAGCCUGCUCCAGCGGUACCGCGGGGGAGAAGGAGACCUACGGGUUGUAAAGCCCUUUUGUUGGGAAAGAAAAGCAGCAGGUUAAUACCCCGCUGUUCUGACGGUACCCAAAGAAUAAGCACCGGCUAACUACGUG